AAGAUUCUAGUAAAAAGAUUACACUACCUUGUCAAGGCAUAAUUGUAGGUGGAACCCCUGCGUAUCUUA
rnacentral:tRNA from 1 species